UUGAAUCAAACUAGCGCUAAAGCUUAAACAGGAUUCGUUUCAUCAGCUGGUGAUGGUGGUUACAUUACAUGUAUGUGAUGUGGGAAGCUGCAGUUCCAAAGCAGAAACCAAUCAAGAUAAAAUAUUUUACAUUAGUGGAUGUGGGAUUCAGGUACUUGGUUAGGCUAUAUUUCUCGGGGAAGCUGCAGUUCCAAAGCAAAAACCAAGCAAGAUAAAAAAUAUUAGAUUAGUGGAUGUGGGAUUCAGGUAGUUGGUUUGGCUACAGGCUAUAUUUCUGGGAGCUGCAACUCAAAAUGGAAGAGAGUGGUACAGUAGCAUUCAUUUUGAGGUCAGCAUCGGAGAAAGGGGCAAUGAAGAUAGCCUCAUCCCUAUGUAUGUGGACUCAAUGGUGAUGAUGAGAGGGCAUAAACAUGAUCUCGUAAUCUAGAUUGAGUCGAAUGUCUAAACUGGAAAGAACGUGGCUGGAGUAUCUUCUUACAUACCAAGAUCACAAU
rnacentral:lncRNA from 1 species